rnacentral:rRNA from 1 species
CACGUAGGGCGCAAGCGUUGUCCGGAAUUAUUGGGCGUAAAGAGCUCGUAGGCGGUCUGUUACGUCUGCUGUGAAAACCCAGGGCUUAACCCCGAGCCUGCAGUGGAUACGGGCAGACUAGAGGUAGGUAGGGGGAGAAUGGAAUUCCCGGUGUAGCGGUGAAAUGCGCAGAUAUCAGGAAGAACACCCGUGGCUAAGGCGGCUCUCUAGUACGGUACUGACGCUGAGGCACGAAGGUCAGGGGAGCAAACGGG